GCCUCAAUUCUCUCGCAGUCGCAGUCACUACCUCUUCUUUCGCAGUCACGCCCUCUUCGCUGCUGGGAAGGAGCUGUAGCCGCCGACGGGGACAGACCGUGGGUGCCGUUGCCGCUUGUGGAAGGUCUGUAUCUCGGCCCCCAUCACAUCGUUCCUCUUCUCCUCGCGGUCGCCCGAAAGUCUACGUCCAGCUCGUCGCCUCGCAUUAGCCGUCGCGAAGGGCUGCUUGGUCGUCAUCCCUUCGAUCUCUCUCUCUUUCUCAAGUCUCUUUCUCUCGGUCCGAGUUCGGUCGUUUCUGUCGCGAAGGUCUGCUCUCUGUCCGAGGCUCUGAGCUAACUUCCCUUCCUCGUCGCCGUCACUUCCCAUUCCUCCCUCGCCACCGUAUGUGAACUGGUGUGGCCAUAUAUUCAAGGAGAAGAAUCAUGAAAUUGGGAUGAUAAGGGGGCGGAAUGUGAAUUUUGUGAGGGAAAGGGAGCAGGUGGUUGAGUAAACAAAUCAUAAUGUUAGGGUGAUGAGGGACCCAAUUUGAUUUUUGUGAGGGAGAGGUGGAAUGAGAUGAUCUUCCAAGUGCAUCUCAGAAGUAGGGAUUCUUGCAAGUGAUCAAUCAUGGUCUUCUGAAGAUGUUAUGGAUGAGAUGUUCCAUGGAAUCCGUAGUUUCAUGAAUAAGAAGCUGAGCUAAAGAAACCGUUUUUAUUCAAGGGAUAACAACAAUAAAGUUAGGUAUUUCUUCAAUAGUAAGCUGUUCAGAGACUAUGCCAUUUCAUUUGUUGCAAAUCCUGAUCUUCUUAAUCCAGACCAGAAGUGUGUACUCGUAGGUAAUUUCAUUUAGCUUUUAUGCAACUUUUCUUAUACCUGGUUACAUGGCUUUUGAUUGGUCACGGUCAUCACUUGCUGCCAUUGUGCACUUUAGACCCUCUUCUUGUAUAAUUAUAUGUCUUUUGAUCAAACAUUUGUGAUUUGUACAGAGAUAUAGUGUCUAAAUAUUCAAAACAAGUACAGCAUUGUGUAUUAUAAUCUUUGGCCUUAACUACUCUUACUUAAAGAAAUGGAUGUUCCUGAGGCACUUCAUGUUAUGGUCAGUACUACCCACAGUGCCCUGAACCUGAGUUAACCUUGGGACUUACAAAACACACUGAUUUGGAUUUCAUAACAAUACUUCUGCAAGAUCAAAUUGGAGCUCUUCAAGUUAUUCAUCAAAAUCAAUGGGUUGGUAUUCCUCUAGUGCAAGGAAGCUCUUGUUGUAAAUAUUAUAUUCUACUCGUGAACUAAUGUAUUUAGUUAUAGAGUAUUAAGAUACAUUGAUUUAUUUAGGAAUGGUUAGAGAAUGUAUAUUGAUUAUAGAAAAUGUAAUAGUUGUAUUAUAGAAAAUCUAAACUUAAUAGUUUCCUA